GCAUCAAAUGCAGAAUCUUUUGCGUCCACAAAUUAUAGUAGCAUAACACGACAUAGAGAAGCAUACAGGCAAGCAGGCAAAAGUGGGCCGGCGUCUGUUAAGGGACAACAUUAGUGCUCCCAUUUUUUCAUAUUCAUGCUCCACCCACCAAGAUGAAAUAACUAUGUGGGAAACAAAUGACAUUUGGUGUACCCAAUCCAUCCACUGCCCCAAAACCAGACAUCAAGGAUGGUCAUUCCCCUACCGCAAACCCACAUGGCCAUAAAAGCCAACAAUAAUUAAAAUUAGAGUUUAAUGCAAUCAAGCCAAAAAGAGAAGUUAAAAAAAAGAGUCCUCAUACUUUAUUACCAAGUUUCCUUCACCUUUAUCAAGUUCAUAACUUUGAGAAGGGUUAUAGUUAUUAGGCACUCCAAGAAAAAAUGGUUUGUCUUCUAACCGCUUAUGAGAACAAACAGUGGUUUGUCUUCUAACAGUUCCCUGCCCUUCAGCUCUGGCAAUUCAAUGACACA
rnacentral:misc_RNA from 1 species